rnacentral:rRNA from 1 species
AAAAACAUCGCCUCUUGUUUUAAUUAUAAGAGGUCCAGCCCUGCCCAGUGACUAAAUUUAACGGCCGCGGUAUCCUAACCGUGCGAAGGUAGCGUAAUCACUUGUUCUUUAAAUAAGGACUAGUAUGAAUGGCAUCACGAAGGUUAUACUGUCUCCCUUUUUUAAUCAGUGAAACUAAUCUCCCCGUGAAGAAGCGGGAAUAAAACUAUAAGACGAGAAGACCCUAUGGAGCUUUAGACUUUUCGGUAAAUGAUACUUUUACAUUAUAUCCUCCGGGAACUAAAUUUUAUUUUCCCAUAAUAACCGUUAGUCUUAGGUUGGGGUGACCGCGGAGUAUAAUCAAACCUCCACGCUGAAAGAAAAUAAAUUUCUUAGCCAAGAGCUACAACUCUAAGCACCAAAAAUUUGACAUAAAUUGAUCCAAUUAAUUGAUCAACGAACCAAGUUACCCUAGGGAUAACAGCGCAAUCUACUUCAAGAGCUCCUAUCGACAAGUAGGUUUACGACCUCGAUGUUGGAUCAGGGUGUCCUAGUGGUGCAGCCGCUACUAAAGGUUCGUUUGUUCAACGAUUAAAACCCUACGUGAUC